GACGAACGCUGGCGGCGUGGAUUAGGCAUGCAAGUCGGACGGUAGGGCUUUAUCGUAAGAUAGAGUUUGAGAGUGGCGAACGGGUGAGUAACACGUAGGAAUCUACCCUUAAGACGGGGGACAACCCAGGGAAACUUGGGCUAAUACCGGAUGAGAGUGCGAGAGAUUGCAUUUAAAAGGAUGGCGAAAGUUGUCGCUUAGGGAUGAGCCUGCGGUCUAUUAGUUAGUUGGUGAGGUAAGAGCUCACCAAGGCGAUGAUAGAUAGGCGGCCUUAACGGGUGGUCGCCCACACUGGGAUUGAGAUACGGCCCAGACUCCUACGGGAGGCAGCAGUCGAGAAUAGUCUACAAUGGCCGGAAGGCUGAUAGUGCGACGCCGCGUGAACGAGGGAGCCCUUCGGGUGUAAAGCUCUGUUGCCGGGGACGAACGGUACUUAUAGGAAAUGAUAAGUAAGUGACGGUACCCGGCGAGAAAGCCACGGCUAACUACGUGCCAGCAGCCGCGGUAAGCAUACAUCGUA
rnacentral:rRNA from 1 species